GUGGGGAAUUUUGGACAAUGGGCGCAAGCCUGAUCCAGCCAUGCCGCGUGCAGGAUGAAGGCCUUCGGGUUGUAAACUGCUUUUGUACGGAACGAAAAAGCUCUCUCUAAUACAGGGGGUGAAUGACGGUACCGUAAGAAUAAGCACCGGCUAACUACGUGCCAGCAGCCGCGGUAAUACGUAGGGUGCAAGCGUUAAUCGGAAUUACUGGGCGUAAAGCGUGCGCAGGCGGUUAUGUAAGACAGAGGUGAAAUCCCCGGGCUCAACCUGGGAACUGCCUUUGUGACUGCAUAGCUGGAGUGCGGCAGAGGGGGAUGGAAUUCCGCGUGUAGCAGUGAAAUGCGUAGAUAUGCGGAGGAACACCGAUGGCGAAGGCAAUCCCCUGGGCCUGCACUGACGCUCAUGCACGAAAGCGUGGGGAGCAAACAGGAUUAGAAACCCCGGUAGUCC
rnacentral:rRNA from 1 species